CCCUUAGAUGUUCUGGGCCGCACGCGCGCUACACUGAUGCAUUCAACGAGCCUAUCCUUGACCGACAGGUCCGGGUAAUCUUUGAAUCUGCAUCGUGACGGGGAUAGAUUAUUGCAAUGAUUAAUCUUCAACGAGGAAUGCCUAGUAGGCGCAAGUCAUCAGCUUGCGUCGAUUACGUCCCUGCCCUUUGUACACACCGCCCGUCGCUCCUACCGAUUGGGUGUGCUGGUGAAAUGUUCGGAUCGGCCGUUUGUCGCGGUUUCCGCGUCAUGUGGCUGAGAAGUUCAUUAAACCCUCCCACCUAGAGGAAGGAGAAGUCGUAACA
rnacentral:rRNA from 1 species